GUGGCGAGCUCGAGUAACGUUGAGCCGUCGCAACGCGCGCAAAGGAGUGGGCACCGACGGUGCUUAAGGUACGUGCUAUCCGCUGGGUAACCAGUCUCUUGUAUCAAGGCCCGGUAGGCCAAAAUACGAGAGGGCGGGUUUGUAUCACUGAUGCAAAGAUCCGCUGGAUGUCCGUGGGUAGAAAUACUCAUGGACAAUAUGCUGUGAUGCCCUUAGAUGUUCUGGGCCGCACGCGCGCUACACUGACAGAG
rnacentral:rRNA from 1 species